CCUACGGGAGGCAGCAGUAGGGAAUAUUGCUCAAUGGGGGAAACCCUGAAGCAGCAACGCCGCGUGGAGGAUGACGGUUUUAGGAUUGUAAACUCCUUUUGUGAGAGAAGAUAAUGACGGUAUUUCACGAAUAAGCACCGGCUAACUACGUGCAAGCAGCCGCGGUAAUACGGAGGGUGGAAGCGUUACUCGGAAUCACUGGGCGUAAAGAGUGCGCAGGCGGGAUUGUAAGGCAGGUGUGAAAUCCUGUAGCUUAACUAUAGAACGGCAUUUGAAACUAUCGGUCUAGAGUGUGGGAGAGGUAUGUGGAAUUCUUGGUGUAGUGGUAAAAUCCGUAGAUAUCAAGAGGAAUACUCAUUGCGAAGGCGACCUACUGGAACAUGACUGACGCUGAGGCACGAAAGCGUGGGGAGCAAACAGGAUUAGAUACCCGGGUAGUC
rnacentral:rRNA from 1 species